GUAGGUGGCAAGCGUUGUCCGGAAUUAUUGGGCGUAAAGCGCGCGCAGGCGGUCCUUUAAGGUCUGAUGUGAAAGCCCACGGGCUCAACCGUGGAGGGUCAUUGGAAACUGGGGGACUUGAGUGCAGAAGAGGAAAGCGGAAUUCCAAGUGUAGCGGUGAAAUGCGUAGAGAUUUGGAGGAACACCAGUGGCGAAGGCGGCUUUCUGGUCUGUAACUGACGCUGAGGCGCGAAAGCGUGGGGAGCAAACAGGAUUAGAUACCCUGGUAGUCCACGCCGUAAACGAUGAGUGCUAAGUGUUAGGGGGUUUCCGCCCCUUAGUGCUGCAGCUAACGCAUUAAGCACUCCGCCUGGGGAGUACGGCCGCAAAGGCUG
rnacentral:rRNA from 1 species